GACGAACGCUGGCGGCGUGCUUAACACAUGCAAGUCGAACGGUAAGGCCCCAGCUUGCUGGGGCACACGAGUGGCGCACGGGGGAGUAACACGCGGGUGAACCGUCCCGCACUUAGGGAUAAGCCUGGGAAACUCGGGCUAAUACCGGAUAGGACAGUACCGAGCGGGUGUGGUGGAAGGUUGUUCGGGUUGGGAUGGGUCCGCGGCCUAUCGGCUUGUUGGUGGGGUAAUGGCCUACGAUGGCGGCGACGGAUGGCCGGCCUGGGAGGGUGGACGGACACCUUGGGACUGAGAGACGGCCCAGACUCCUACGGGACGCAGCAGGGGGGAAUAUUGCAGAACGGGGGGAAGCCUGAUGCAGCGGCGCCGCGUUGGGGAUAACGUCUUUCGGGGUGUAAACACCUUUCACCGUCGAUGAAGAUUUUCUGACGGUAGAUGAAGAAGAAGCACCGGCUAACUACGUG
rnacentral:rRNA from 1 species